AGUCGAGCGAUGGAUUGAGAGCUUGCUCUCAAGAAGUUAGCGGCGGACGGGUGAGUAACACGUGGGUAACCUGCCCAUAAGACUGGGAUAACUCCGGGAAACCGGGGCUAAUACCGGAUAACAUUUUGAACCGCAUGGUUCGAAAUUGAAAGGCGGCUUCGGCUGUCACUUAUGGAUGGACCCGCGUCGCAUUAGCUAGUUGGUGAGGUAACGGCUCACCAAGGCAACGAUGCGUAGCCGACCUGAGAGGGUGAUCGGCCACACUGGGACUGAGACACGGCCCAGACUCCUACGGGAGGCAGCAGUAGGGAAUCUUCCGCAAUGGACGAAAGUCUGACGGAGCAACGCCGCGUGAGUGAUGAAGGCUUUCGGGUCGUAAAACUCUGUUGUUAGGGAAGAACAAGUGCUAGUUGAAUAAGCUGGCACCUUGACGGUACCUAACCAGAAAGCCACGGCUAACUACGUGCCAGCAGCCGCGGUAAUACGUAGGUGGCAAGCGUUAUC
rnacentral:rRNA from 2 species